rnacentral:rRNA from 1 species
GAUGAACGCUGGCGGCGUGCCUAAUACAUGCAAGUCGAGCGAACAGAUAAGGAGCUUGCUCCUUUGACGUUAGCGGCGGACGGGUGAGUAACACGUGGGUAACCUACCUAUAAGACUGGGAUAACUUCGGGAAACCGGAGCUAAUACCGGAUAACAUUUGGAACCGCAUGGUUCUAAAGUGAAAGAUGGUUUUGCUAUCACUUAUAGAUGGACCCGCGCCGUAUUAGCUAGUUGGUAAGGUAACGGCUUACCAAGGCGACGAUACGUAGCCGACCUGAGAGGGUGAUCGGCCACACUGGAACUGAGACACGGUCCAGACUCCUACGGGAGGCAGCAGUAGGGAAUCUUCCGCAAUGGGCGAAAGCCUGACGGAGCAACGCCGCGUGAGUGAUGAAGGGUUUCGGCUCGUAAAACUCUGUUAUUAGGGAAGAACAAAUGUGUAAGUAACUGUGCACGUCUUGACGGUACCUAAUCAGAAAGCCACGGCUAACUACGUGC